rnacentral:rRNA from 1 species
UACAGAGGUCUCAAGCGUUGUUCGGAUUCAUUGGGCGUAAAGGGUGCGUAGGCGGCGCGGUAAGUCGGGGUGUGAAAUCUCGGAGCUUAACUCCGAAACUGCAUUCGAUACUGCCGUGCUUGAGGACUGGAGAGGAGACUGGAAUUUACGGUGUAGCGGUGAAAAUGCGUAGAUAUCGUAAGGAAGACCAGUGGCGAAGGCGGGGUCUCUGGACAGUUCCUGACGCUGAGGCGCGAAAGCCAGGGGGAGCAAAACGGGG